AAUUAUUCGUGUUAGGGAUAGAAACGGCAUCCUUUUGUGAAGCAUGAAGCAAAAGAUAUAGUGGAAAGCCCGACCUUUU
rfam:Polaribacter atrinae strain KACC 17473 LPB303_39, whole genome shotgun sequence.